AUUGAACGCUGGCGGCAGGCCUAACACAUGCAAGUCGAGCGAGCGGCGGACGGGUGAGUAAUGUCUGGGAACCUGCCUGAUGGAGGGGGAUAACUACUGGAAACGGUAGCUACUACCGCAUACCAUCAGAUGUGCCCCGAUGGGGUGAGCUAGUAGGUGGGGUAACGGCUAACCUAGGCGACGAUCCCUAGCUGGUCUGAGAGGAUUACCAGCGACACUGGAACUGAGACACGGUCCAGACGCCUAUGGAAGGCAGCAGUGGGGAAUAUGGCACAAUGGGAGAAAGCCUGAUGCAGCCAUGCCGCGUGUGUGAAGAAGGCCUUCGGGUUGUAAAGCACUUUCAGCGGGGAGGCGUUACCCGCAGAAGAAGCACCGGCUAACUCCGUGCCAGCAGCCGCGGUAAUAC
rnacentral:rRNA from 1 species